GGGGUAGUGACGUUCUCCACGAGGCCAGUGGUGGGAGCACUGUCCUCCGUGAGGCCAGAGGGGGGAGUGACAUUCUCCACAAAGCAAGAGGAGGAGCAGCGUCCUCCACAUAGCAAUAGGGGGAGCAAUGUACAGUGCGAAGCAAGGGGAAAGAGGGAUGUCCUCAGUGGAGCGAUGUCCUCUGCAGAGCAAGAGAAUUGAGUGACAUCCAAAGUGGGGCAGGGAGGGUAGGAGAGAGUUCUAAUACAAAAAAUUUCCUAAGGGGGUGCAGGGCAUCAAACCAUUCCCGAGUGGCUCUGUCCCAAGGUCCCCUCCUUUGUUGCUCCCACAUCAGGCGGUUCUUCUCCAAGAGGGCUACUUGGAUGGUGAAAAAGUCUGCUGCAUCCAUGUUUGGGCUAUCUUUCUGUCAGGGAUUUGCAGGUGGAUGCAAAUGCAGAUUAAGUUGAUUAAGUAACAAAAUAUGAACAAUACAAACAACGUAAUCCUUAGACAUCUAAACAUGAACUAUGAUCUCAAGGCAAAAACAUACAUAGACUAGAGGGUAUGUCCUGACAACAAACUGCAACGAAAUACAAAAUCUAGACACUGAGUGCAGUACAAGACAUGACUUAAAUACUCAUGCUCAUUAAACCAAAACGUGACUCCGAUGCAGCCAGUCAUGUGACGUGAUCCGGUGAAGUGCAGGGGCUGAUGGGAAUCGUAGUCAUGCACCAUUUUUGGCAUAACCAUGACAAUAUGUAGCUUAGUAUGUGUUUGAUAAUCUAUUGCCUGACAAAAUAUCUGUAUACAUGGUUGAUAUUUAUGGUACAUAUUUUGUACCCCAAUCUGUGAAAAAUAUUAAAAUAUUAUCUAAAAUAUUAUUUGUUUGAUUAUUAUACAGAUUAUUUAUAUCGUGGUUUGUAUUUGUUGGAUUCUUGUAGAUCAGUUUGGCUUAAAUUCUGUGUGAGUUAGCUAAGAACCCAAGAUAUCAGUUCAUGAAACACUUGAAGGGUUAAUUUAGUCAAAAAUACACCACAUAGCAUUAGCACAAAUGCUACCUGACUAAAGAACUGCACCAUUGCGUCACUAGCUCUUGCAGUUUGGCCGUCACUCUGCUCCUCCAUUUUUUUUUUUACCUGCUGCACUUUGCCGCUAGUGCUUCAUGCCUCGGGUGACAGGAAUCCAAUUUCACCGUGUCUUCGGGAAAGAAUCUCUCAGGCUGAUGAGAGCUAUUGGGCAUGUGGGAGAUGCAGCUUCUAUGUCCUUAUUCUUCCAUUGCUCUUGGAACUUGCAUCCUUCUACCAGACAGGUACAUCCAGGUAGGUGUUGUUGCCAGGGGUCAGAAGCGGUUUUGUUAAAAGUUAGGAAUAGGGAUGUGUGGCCAUAAAUUGAGGACUGUUCGAGGAAAGAGACGUUAGGUGGCAUUAGGCCAGUGUGCUCCAUGUCUACAGUGCUUCCUGUCAUUGUCCAUUUGAAAGUAGGGAAUGCUAGUCUGGACAGUAUGAACCGGAUGCUGUGUGUUACUUGCAGACAUGAUGCAGAGUGUUUUGAUUUGAAUGUUUAGUAAUGGAAACAGUGAGUUGCGAGAAACUUCAAAGACAUCUGCACCAGUUUAUUGCUUUUUAAAAAAUAAAUAAAUCAUAACAUCAAUGCUACAAUAAUGUUGGGUUGUAUUCGACAUGUUUAUGAGAAGAUUCCACAUAAAACAGCCUGUUUUUCGGGUAUUCACGAUGGCAGAGAUGAAAAUGGUCUUAUAGCAAUACGUGUUUUAAUGAUGCUUCUCAAUAUGUCUGAACCCAUGGAAGUUCAUGGUUGAUGCUAAGUGUAAUUAGAUAGCUGUACAGAAUUUUGUCUUAAUAAUUUACCAAUACGUUUAAGGAAAAUGUUGAUUUUUUCCACCGCCGUUGUCUCGUUUCUUUUGUCGCUAAUGCUGCGUUCAAGCCGAAGUCGCAACUUGCAAUUCACCGAAUACACCCAGUAAAAAAAAACAGAAAAUACACCCCUCAACUUGAAAUUUCAACAGGUGCCCGUUGACUACUUUUAAAUUAGUUUAAAGCAGUAUUUGGCUUUAGAUCAGUUACUAUACAAACAUAGUACUUGGUUAAAUCUAUAACACUGACCAUAGUAAUUGCUGUUUUGAAAAUUUAAUCAACAUUGGAGUUAUAAUGUUAGCUGGUUACCUUGUUGCUAAGCUACUCAUUACUGUGCACUUUUGCUGCUGUGCUCCCAUUUCAGUCCAAAAUGUUCCAUGAAUGUUUGAAGUUCAUUGUAGUAGAAUAGUACCAGUAGCCACUCGGGCCUGUAACCACUGUUAAAGUGCAUUUAAAGCAGCUUUUCAUGAGCUGGUUUCUGGUAGCUUGGUGCUCACAUCGUGCUGGACUUGUCACGAUCCUGUCACAUUAACACCCUGGUGAAGAAGGCCCAUCAGUGUCUUUACCAUCUUAGACGCUCAAAGGAAUUUGGAACUGCCAGCAUCAAGAACAUCCUGAUGGGAAGCAUCACAGCCUGAUUUGGGAACAGCACCAAGCAGGAUAGGCGUGCUCUCCAGAGGGUGGUGCGAUCAGCUGAGCUCACCAUCUGCAAUGAGCUCCCUGACCUGCAGUCUAUCUACAGCAAAUGGUCCUGGAGCAAGGCCAGGAAGAUGAAGUGAAGGACCUCAGCCAUCCAAACAAUGGACUCUUCUCUCUGUUGCGCUCAGGGGAACAGAGCGUUUCCGCUCCCUGAAGUCCGACACAGAAAGAAUGAGGAGGAGCUUCUUCCCAAAGGCCAAUCGGGCCCUCAACCAGGAAAACACCUAGGACUAGAGCUUGGACUUGGUUGCAUAUUACCCUAUAUUUAUAAAUAUUUAAAUAUUGCUGACAAUUUCACUACAGCUACCUCGGCCUGAUCAUAUUGCACAAACACAUGCACAUAUCGGCACCUGUUGCUGCCACCUAUAUAUAUAUAUAUAUAUAUUUCGGUUUCUA
ensembl:lncRNA